rnacentral:rRNA from 1 species
UACGAAGGGGGCUAGCGUUGCUCGGAAUCACUGGGCGUAAAGCGCACGUAGGCGGAUCGUUAAGUCAGGGGUGAAAUCCUGGAGCUCAACUCCAGAACUGCCUUUGAUACUGGCGACCUUGAGUUCGGGAGAGGUGGAGUGGAACUGCGAGUGUAGAGGUGAAAUUCGUAGAUAUUCGCAAGAACACCCGUGCGAAGGCGGCUCGCCUGGACCGCAACUGACGCUGAG